rnacentral:rRNA from 1 species
AGCAGCCGCGGUAAUUCCAGCUCCAAUAGCGUAUAUUAAAGUUGUUGCAGUUAAAAGCUCGUAGUUGAAUUUCGGGAUCAAAUUGUCGGUCGUGCCUCGGUACGUACUGGUAUUAUUGGUUCCUCCCUUCUGACGAACCACGAUGUCAUUAACUUGGUGUCAUGGGAAAUCAGGACUGUUACUUUGAAAAAAUUAGAGUGUUUAAAGUAGGCUCGCGCUUGAAUACAUUAGCAUGGAAUAAUGAAAUAGGACGUUUGAUUCUAUUUUGUUGGUUUCUAGGAUCGACGUAAUGAUUAAUAGGGAUAGUUGGGGGCAUUAGUAUUCAAUUGUCAGAGGUGAAAUUCUUGGAUUUAUUGAAGACUAACUACUGCGAAAGCAUUUGCCAAGGAUGUUUUCAUUAAUCAAGAACGAAAGUUAGGGGAUCGAAGACGAUCAGAUACCGUCGUAGUCUUAACCAUAAACUAUGCCGACUAGGGAUCGGAUGAUGUUAAUUUUUUAAUGACUCAUUCGGCGCCUUACG